CGUAGGGUGCGAGCGUUGUCCGGAAUUAUUGGGCGUAAAGGGCUCGUAGGCGGUUUGUCGCGUCGGGAGUGAAACACGGGGCUUAACUCCGUGCUUGCUUUCGAUACGGGCAGACUAGAGGUAUGCAGGGGAGAACGGAAUUCCUGGUGUAGCGGUGAAAUGCGCAGAUAUCAGGAGGAACACCGGUGGCGAAGGCGGUUCUCUGGGCAUGACCUGACGCUGAGGAGCGAAAGUGUGGGGAGCGAACAGGAUU
rnacentral:rRNA from 1 species